rnacentral:lncRNA from 1 species
CACGUAUGCAGAUGUUUCCAAACAGAAGAAAGGCUGCAGAGUCCAGGAGAAAGGAUUUCCUGCGAAUUGAUGGGAGUGAAGGCCAUAUUGCUGGUAAUUCACUUUACAAUUCAAUUUUUCGUCUCCUUAAUUGGUAAUUCCAUCAUGUUGUUUCUCAGAAGAAAAGAAUUCAGUUGAUUUACAGGUGAUAGUAGAAUAAAAAACUUGUUCUGGAUUGAUUAUAUGUUUAUAGGCAUAUAUAUAAUUAUUACUCACUAUCUUGAUGCCGUUGUGGUGAAGGCGACAGCAUUAGCUUGAUAGUGAUCUGUGCCGUAUAUAGUGAAAUACCAAUUUGUUUAAUCCAAAAUCCAAAUGCACGUAAGCUAUUUGAAUUUAUGCUUCAAAGAAGGCUUCCGGCCAUUUGAAGCUCACAAAUCUGUAAUGCUUCUGCACGUCAAGUGAAAUAAAUUUUUGAAGCAUUUGAGAGAGUGAAACUAAAUUAGAAUAAAUUCCAAAAUGCUGCUGCUACAAACUCCACUAGCAUAUGAAAAUACAGCCAUAGAAGAAAUGGCCUGAUAAACUAGACUCCUAAUUUUACAGACUGCUUAGUAGGCUUCCAACAAGAGAGAGCGUAAAUUACGCGUCCUUUCCAUCCUUGCAGCAUCCAGUGUCCAUCUUCAUCAACUGAGAAGUCCCUAUGGUACUCCGACCUCACUUUAUUCCUCACUAUCUUCACAAUCUCCUGGUCAAGUGGCACCUGCUUGAAUCCAGCUCUAACGCAUCUAAGUUGCCAUUGCUUGUAUGUUUCAGGUCUCUCGACUCUCUCUGUCCCUUCACAAGCUAUCACGUUCAUAGCAUCUCUUGCAUAAACCUCUUCCUCGAAUAGCUUUCUGUCCUCAUCCUCGUGGGGCAUAGUAGCCUCAAACAUAUCGAACAGUGAGGAGAAGUGAAAAAGCGCCUCCCUGAAUCGUGUGACGAAAAAUGGAGUGUUGAAAGUACCGUUCAACGCACCAUGGAUGAACAAAUCAGGACGGAUUCUCCUGAUUAAAUUCAGGACAGCAUCCCUUGGACUGUUUGGUACUACUGUCUCAUCAGGUAUGUUUCCUAGCCUAUACAAACUGUUAACUACCAACACUUCAUCCCUUUGAAUCUCAAGAUCUUCAAGCGUGAUGCUUUCCCACUUCUUCGCGAUGGCUUUGAAUACGAAAGGGACAUUAAAUCGCUUGCAGUACUUCUCCAGGCGACGCCCUGUCUCCUCAACCCUCCCUGCUGGCUUGAAACCUGACUGGGGAAGAUCAAUUCCAGUAAUGCGAAGCUCUGGAGGUCCCCCAGCCCUCAUGGAUAGACCUUGUAUGAGACAGGGCCAUUGGAAACCAUACAAAAUCCCAAAAUCAAUUAUGUGGAUCUUUGGUGCUCCAGCAAUGACCUUUCUGAUAUACUUGUUUGCGAACAUGUUUGACAGCAACUUGAAUGGACAUGCUGUGAUAAAUGCCUUGUAAGCUUUCAAAAUGUUAGCAGCUGAUAUCCUACUGGGUGCGUACGCUGUAUACAAAGCUGUUCCUGUGCCGGACAGGCGUGCUUCAAGGGCAUUGGCAAGAUAAUGAGCCAACCUCUCCGUCCCAUCGCCAUGAGGUGUAGAGUGUUCUCUUAUCCGCAUCAGCAGCUCAUUAGCUGUUCUGCUAUCAUAGCUUGCCAUGGCCUGAGCACAUUGAGUCAACAGAGCCCUCAAAUCCACCAUUUCCUUCUUGACAAUGCUGCUAUGCUUCCUACCACCUCUCGGCCUUCCAACUUUGCUUGCUUUUUUGGCUUCAUUUGGCGGCGAGUAGGAAGUGACACUAGUAGCACUAUGAUGUUCCACAUAUGGAUUGUUUAAACAAAGCAACACGUUGUCAUACAUUUCCAAUGGUUCAGAUUCAUCAUGAACAAAUGUAGCCAUCUGUUUGUUACUCCUCUGCUGGUCUGCAGCAAGGUCUGCAGCAACAUCUCCUCGAUGUCGAUUUUUCUUUUCCCUCAAACCAGUGGGUGAAUUGCUGCUGCUGCCACUUCGGAACACAUUAACAGCUCCUCCUUCAAAAUGGCCAUUUCCGAAGGAAGUGAAGAAAGAGUCAUGAUUAGAUAAAGUCGACACGGAAACAGGGGAUUCGAAAUUAAGAUCCCAUUGAGGCGACUCAAUAGAAUCAGGUGAAUAGUUGCUGAGAAAACUAGAGGAUUCGUGUGGAUUGAUAAUGACAGAUUGUGGGGAAUAGUUGUUUUCGGAUCCAUGAAGUACAUCAGAUAAGUAUUUCUCUUUAGCUUGGAGAGCCAUGCAGUCAUGAAACAUACAUGGCUUAUUCUCCAAAUCAUCUUCUUCCAUAAGCAUCUGACUUAAGAAUUUGUACAUUGCAUCAGAAUAGUCCCUUUCCCCUUCCUCUUUAGGAGAAGAAGAAUCUCCCUCUCCAACAACAUGAUUUGAAAGGUAAUCUUGAACAAAACUAGGAUGAUUAUUGACACCAUUUUGUACAACAUCUUUUCUUGGAUCCAUUGGAAUUGAAGGGUGCCUAAAAAUGAAAGAAUCAGCACAAGGAAAAAGCUGUUCUUGAAAAAGGGCUUCCAUGGAAAUUGGUUUGAGCUACUAAAUUCUGAGAUGUUUGAUUGAAGAAAUCAAGAAUCACAGAAAUUCUAACAAAAAAGAAAGAAAAGAAACUGAAACAAAAAAUAGGAACUGAGAAUGGUACCUGAUAUAUAGAAGAAAAUGCUGUUGAAGUAGUAAGUAAUAGUAGAAUAGAAGAAGAAGUAGUAUUGAAGUUGGAAGCUAAGAAAUGGUUUCUCUUGGAAUAUAUACAAGUGUAUAAUAAUAGGUAAAGAAGAAGGGUUAGAAUAUUCAAUGAAAAAAUAGCAACUUCCAGGAAGUAGAUGUUGAUGAUGAUGAACCCAACCACUCGUGAAUCGUGACCGGCUAAGGUAAGCAGCCUAGCAAGUUAUCGGUUUCUUUUCUUUUCCUCCCAAAAAUAAAAGGCCAACUUUCUAGAAUUAAAAAUACAGGAAAUUUAUAGUCACAUCAAUUAAUUUGUUUUAGAUAUAAAUUUUAAAAGGAAAUUUUGAGUUAACUGAUAAAGUUAUUAUAUGUAAUCGUAAGAUCGUGGUGAGAGUUAUAAAAACAACUUCUUACAAAAAUGAAGGGAUAAAUUUGAUCUCUUCUCGAACUCCAUAUAUAAUACUUUCAGUUUAAAAAAGAAUAAUCUGUUCUUUUUUUUAGUUUGCUUUUUUUUUGCUAACUUUUUAACAUCAACUUCUCACGUGUCAUGUUUAAGAUCAUAAGAUUAAAGAACAUUUUAGUAUAUUAUAAUCACAAAAUUGAAAAGUUUUUUAUUUUCUUAAAUUUGAGCUAAAUCAAACUAAAAAGAUGCACCUGAAUCCCUUUUUUACUUUUUGUCAUGUGAACCUAUUUCUUUUUCUUUUUAGUUAUUCUUUAAAAAUAAUUACUCCAAUCUAAAUUUGAAAACCAUUUAUCCAAAAUUUCAUUAAUGAUAAACCUGAAACCAACAUAAAUAACUCAGACGGAUAAUAAAACUCCCAAAAAUAAUAAGGGGUCGCUGUUGCCUUUUAGAUGGUUAGAGUUUGGCAAGUAAUAAUAACGUGAGAUUAGUUAUGAGGAAAUAUAUGUAUUAUUUUAAAUAGAAAUUAGUUAUUCAUGUAUUAGUCAUUUUAUUUUUUAAGUUUUAUUUUGUAUAAAAUAAUAUAUAGAAUCUCUCAUAACUUAUACAUGUAUUACUUAUGCGAUUUUCUAAAUUAUCAAUCAAACAUCAUAUUAUUUUAUAUAUGUAUAACUUAUUUUUCACAUAUCUACUAAAUAUCGUAUAAGUUAUACACAAUAUAAUAUAUAAAAAAAAAACUUUUUUUUUCUGACUACCAGACGAUGGGUAUUAAUUCGAGAGUAUGUGAUUUCCCUAAAUAGAAACAAAGAUAAUAUUAUAUUGAAUUGUUUUGAAAGAGUGGUGGGGUUAACUGACGAGGGAACAAAUUGACAUUAUCCGAGCAGGGGUGAAGAAUCAAAACUUUGAUGACUUCCUCCACUUUUGUAUCUAUCUCAUAUAUAAAUUAAAAUACCUCCAAAUAUCACACUUUUUCUAGUUGAGUCUUUUGACUAAAUUAUCCUAACUUGACUAUUCUAGAAUUUGAAUCUCUCUUUUUUUCCAUUUUUAUAACUUUUCUUACACAUCAAGUUAAUCAUUUCAUUUCAUAUAUGUUUUUAUUUUUAUCUUUAAUGCGACAAUAUUUAUUUUCUUCCUCCCAUAUUAAAUUAAAUACUUUUUAUUUUUUAAUUAGUCUUUUAAAAAAAGUUUGAUUUGUUUCAUAUUAAUAUUAAUUGUAGGAGUAAAAUAUAAAAAAAGAAAUUUAAUUAAUUCUAUCUUGAUUUAGUAAGUGAUCAAGUAAUAUGAGAUAAAUAUUCUUAAUAAGAUACUUAUUUAAUAUGAACGGAGAGAGUAGAAUCCGCCACUUAAACGAGGAAAUAGUAUUCAUUGUCUCGUCAAUGUUUCUUCUUAUAAUAUUUUUCAUAAACUUUACCAAACACACAUGAUUAAGCAAACAAAAUUCCGGAGUAGGAAUUACAAGCAAUUAACAUACUUACUAACUAGGACUGACUGAGUCUGACCAAGCCACUUCUUACAUUUUAUCAAAAGAAAUUGGUUGAACUCGAACAUAUAUAAAGGGUGUGUUUGGUAUCGGAAAAAAAUAUUUAAUUUUUUAAUAUGUAAGCAAAAGAUAGUAUUUUGAAAAAAAUUACUAUUAUAUAACUUAGUAAAUACUAUGAGAGGUGGAAGUUGAGGAUAGGGUAGGGAGUAGUGAUGUGCUUUAAGGAUUGUGUUGUUACUUGUUAGGAUUGAAAUAAUCAAAGUGUCACAGGAAAGUUAAUAAAACAAACCUCGAAAGAUCAUAGUUAAGAAGAUAAAUUAGAGAUCUAUCAAAAAAAUGUAAAUUUCAUAUAUGACAUAUAUUAUAGUACUAUUUUCAAGUUAUAGCAGUAGAUUUAGACUUUCAAGCUAUAGCAGUAGAUUUAGACUUUCAGAUUAUAACAAAUUUACAAAAAAAAAAAGAAAUGUUUUUAUUAAUUGGAAAAAAACUUAAAAAAAAAAAAGAUAAACAAAAAUUUAAAAAGAAAACGGAAUUAGAAAUAAUAAAGAAAAAAACUGAAAAAAUGGAAAUAGAUGUAUUAAUUAAAUUUGAAUUGAUUGAUGAUAAUUAUUAAUUAGCAUAAAUUUAGGAGAUUCAAACUAAUUAGGAAUAUUUGUUUUCCUUAAUUCACUCUAAUCUGUUAAAAUUAAUUUAAAAGUCUUAUUUUAUCCAUUUUCAAAAAAACAAAAUAAAACCAGAUGUAAUUGAUGUUGGUGCAACAUUUAAUGAUCUCUGUUUUAAAUUGUAAGAUUCGUUUAUUCCAGUAUUUAUACAGAUUGUAUACAACUUCAUACAUCUUUAAAAAUACUUAAUCCACGCUUGUUAAGACAAUAUAAUUUACAAUUAGGUUGUAAAUUGUCCAGGAUGAAAAAAAUGUAAAACAAAAAUGUAAUUGAGGUUGUUACAAAAUACAAUUAUCACUAUUUUACAUUGGCAUAAUCGUUUAUACAAGGUAUUUAUACCUGUUGGAUACCAACUUCAUUUUUUUUUAUUUUUUUUUUGUGUUAGAAUAUGAAUUUGGAUGCCAAAGGUGUACAUUUUGGAUACCAAUUAUAAGUCAGAGUUAGUUCAUGAACUCUAAAUUAGUAGUAUGAUUUCUUUCUAGUUAAUAAGACAUUGUAAAAUCAUAAACUCUAAAUGUUGAAUCCAAUUUGUAUGCAUUUUGUAUAUAACUGUUAUCCCGAGAAUUAUUAUAGUCAAUGUGUAAUUUAUCUUUA